UGAACGCUGGCGGCAGGCCUAACACAUGCAAGUCGAGCGGUAGCACAGAGAGCUUGCUCUCGGGUGACGAGCGGCGGACGGGUGAGUAAUGUCUGGGAAACUGCCUGAUGGAGGGGGAUAACUACUGGAAACGGUAGCUAAUACCGCAUAAUGUCGCAAGACCAAAGUGGGGGACCUUCGGGCCUCAUGCCAUCAGAUGUGCCCAGAUGGGAUUAGCUAGUAGGUGGGGUAACGGCUCACCUAGGCGACGAUCCCUAGCUGGUCUGAGAGGAUGACCAGCCACACUGGAACUGAGACACGGUCCAGACUCCUACGGGAGGCAGCAGUGGGGAAUAUUGCACAAUGGGCGCAAGCCUGAUGCAGCCAUGCCGCGUGUGUGAAGAAGGCCUUCGGGUUGUAAAGCACUUUCAGCGGGGAGGAAGGCGGUAAGGUUAAUAACCUCAUCGAUUGACGUUACCCGCAGAAGAAGCACCGGCUAACUCCGUGCCAGCAGCCGCGGUAAUACGGAGGGUGCAAGCGUUAAUCGGAAUUACUGGGCGUAAAGCGCACGCAGGCGGUCUGUCAAGUCGGAUGUGAAAUCCCCGGGCUCAACCUGGGAACUGCAUUCGAAACUGGCAGGCUAGAGUCUUGUAGAGGGGGGUAGAAUUCCAGGUGUAGCGGUGAAAUGCGUAGAGAUCUGGAGGAAUACCGGUGGCGAAGGCGGCCCCCUGGACAAAGACUGACGCUCAGGUGCGAAAGCGUGGGGAGCAAACAGGAUUAGAUACCCUGGUAGUCCACGCCGUAAACGAUGUCGAUUUGGAGGUUGUGCCCUUGAGGCGUGGCUUCCGGAGCUAACGCGUUAAAUCGACCGCCUGGGGAGUACGGCCGCAAGGUUAAAACUCAAAUGAAUUGACGGGGGCCCGCACAAGCGGUGGAGCAUGUGGUUUAAUUCGAUGCAACGCGAAGAACCUUACCUGGUCUUGACAUCCACAGAACUUUCCAGAGAUGGAUUGGUGCCUUCGGGAACUGUGAGACAGGUGCUGCAUGGCUGUCGUCAGCUCGUGUUGUGAAAUGUUGGGUUAAGUCCCGCAACGAGCGCAACCCUUAUCCUUUGUUGCCAGCGGUCCGGCCGGGAACUCAAAGGAGACUGCCAGUGAUAAACUGGAGGAAGGUGGGGAUGACGUCAAGUCAUCAUGGCCCUUACGACCAGGGCUACACACGUGCUACAAUGGCAUAUACAAAGAGAAGCGACCUCGCGAGAGCAAGCGGACCUCAUAAAGUAUGUCGUAGUCCGGAUUGGAGUCUGCAACUCGACUCCAUGAAGUCGGAAUCGCUAGUAAUCGUAGAUCAGAAUGCUACGGUGAAUACGUUCCCGGGCCUUGUACACACCGCCCGUCACACCAUGGGAGUGGGUUGCAAAAGAAGUAGGUAGCUUAACCUUCGGGAGGGCGCUUACCACUUUGUGAUUCAUGACUGGGGUGAAGUCGUAACAAGGUAACCGUAGGGGAACCUGCGGCUG
rnacentral:rRNA from 1 species